rnacentral:lncRNA from 1 species
ACCCCUAAAUAAAUGCAGUGUGGAUAGAAAACGAGUUUCUUGAAGAGUCACCUGCCAAACUCCACUAACGUCAUCUCUACAGACUUCUGAAAAAAUAUGAUUGUUGGUUAGCGGAACAAGGAUUUCUCUAGCUGUACAGCAGACGUUUUCUUUCUAGUGACAUGCGAAAGUGGGUGGAAGCACCUGAGCUGGCAUGUUGACA